AAGUCCUAUAACGAGCGCAACCCUUACCCUUAUUUGCCAGCGGUUAGGCCGGGAACUAUAAGGGAACUGCCGGUAAUAAGCCGGAGGAAGGUGGGGACGACGUCAAGUCAUCAUGGCCCUUACGUGUAGGGCUACACACGUGCUACAAUGGGAGAUACAGACGGUUGCUAAAGCGCGAGCUGGAGCCAAUCCGACAAAGUCUCUCGUAGUCCGAAUUGCAGUCUGGAACUCGACUGCAUGAAGCCGGAAUCGCUAGUAAUCGCGGAUCAGCAUGCCGCGGUGAAUACGUUCUCGGGUCUU
rnacentral:rRNA from 1 species